rnacentral:rRNA from 1 species
GUGCUUAACACAUGCAAGUCGAACGCGAAAGGGACUUCGGUCCCGAGUAGAGUGGCGCACGGGUGAGUAACGCGUAGAUAACCUGUCUUUCUGUCCGGAAUAACACGCCGAAAGGGGUACUAAUACUGGAUAAUCUUGUUUGUCGUGGGACAGACAAGGAAAGGUGGCCUCUGUAUAUGCUACCGCAGGAAGAGGGGUCUGCGUACCAUUAGCUAGUAGGUGGGGUAAAGGCCUACCUAGGCGACGAUGGUUAGCGGGUCUGAGAGGAUGAUCCGCCACACUGGCACUGGAACACGGGCCAGACUCCUACGGGAGGCAGCAGUGAGGAAUAUUGCGCAAUGGGGGCAACCCUGACGCAGCGACGCCGCGUGAGCGAGGAAGGCCUUCGGGUCGUAAAGCUCUGUCAAGAGGAAAGAAGUGCACGGUGGUUAAUACCUGCCGUGUUUGACGGUACCUCUAAAGGAAGCACCGGCUAACUCCGUGCCAGCAGCCGCGGUAAUACGGAAGGUGCGAGCGUUGUUCGGAAUCACUGGGCGUAAAGGGCGCUUAGGCGGUUUGAUCAGUCAGAUGUUAAAAUCCC